GAAGUCCACUAUCUGUCUUCAUGAAGUUUUGCUAGGAGAAAGAUUCCAUCUCUCUGGGAAGAAGGCUGCUGGGAAGAGUUUAGUCACUCUGUAUGGCAGUGACCUUGAAACCCUAUUCUCUGUGGCAUUGACAGCUCUGACCUAGAUGGAGGGUGCUUUCACAAAGAAUGGACCUGUCUCGGUUUCUGAGACCAGCUGUCCUCUGAGGGACCAGGAAGCUGCAAUAGACCGUCUUUUCAAGUGAAGUCCUCCAGUAAUAGAAAACAUAAAAGCAGAGCUGCUCUGAUGGCUCGGUGGGAACCCAACGCCCUCUCUUGGGCUAGGCUCUUGCCCCACCUAGCCGGUCCCUGAGGCAGACCCGUGGAACUUCCAGGCUGGUCCCAGGAAGGGUUUGAAAGCUAGGUGUGUGUGCGUGGAAGCGCUGGCCUGAGUUUCCGCACUAGCCCUCUCCGAACACCCGUUCCCAAGAGCAGAGGAUAGAAGAAAUCUCCAUGGCCAGGCUCCCAACUGGAUUGAGGACUGUCUGAAGAGCCCCUCUCGUCAUCCUGUCCUUCCCACAGGCUGCCCCUCCUGUGAGGGGAACCACAGCUCCACCCACCUUCGACCGGAUUUUGGACCUUUCAUCUUUUAAAUAGGGAGUGGGACCCACUUUGCAGGAUUCAUUGUCAGAACCAAACCAGAUUAAAUAUGCAAU
rnacentral:lncRNA from 1 species